GUAGAUUGAACGCUGGCGGCAGGCCUAACACAUGCAAGUCGAACGGUAACAGGAAGAAGCUUGCUUCUUUGCUGACGAGUGGCGGACGGGUGAGUAAUGUCUGGGAAACUGCCUGAUGGAGGGGGAUAACUACUGGAAACGGUAGCUAAUACCGCAUAACGUCGCAAGACCAAAGAGGGGGACCUUCGGGCCUCUUGCCAUCGGAUGUGCCCAGAUGGGAUUAGCUAGUAGGUGGGGUAACGGCUCACCUAGGCGACGAUCCCUAGCUGGUCUGAGAGGAUGACCAGCCACACUGGAACUGAGACACGGUCCAGACUCCUACGGGAGGCAGCAGUGGGGAAUAUUGCACAAUGGGCGCAAGCCUGAUGCAGCCAUGCCGCGUGUAUGAAGAAGGCCUUCGGGUUGUAAAGUACUUUCAGCGGGGAGGAAGGGAGUAAAGUUAAUACCUUUGCUCAUUGACGUUACCCGCAGAAGAAGCACCGGCUAACUCCGUGCCAGCAGCCGCGGUAAUACGGAGGGUGCAAGCGUUAAUCGGAAUUACUGGGCGUAAAGCGCACGCAGGCGGUUUGUUAAGUCAGAUGUGAAAUCCCCGGGCUCAACCUGGGAACUGCAUCUGAUACUGGCAAGCUUGAGUCUCGUAGAGGGGGGUAGAAUUCCAGGUGUAGCGGUGAAAUGCGUAGAGAUCUGGAGGAAUACCGGUGGCGAAGGCGGCCCCCUGGACGAAGACUGACGCUCAGUGCGAAAUGAGGG
rnacentral:rRNA from 1 species